UUAACAUGUGAGCACUGGAGGAUCGGCACUGCUGGAUCCCAGAAAAACAGGCAACAGUCACACGAGGGGCCUCAGCGUGAACUGGACUGACCUUUGACCCCCGGGCCAGGACUGUAACUCUGAUACAAUGACCUCAUGAAGCACAGGAGAGGAAAGGCCUGUUCUCAGGCAAAACAAACCACGGAAACUGGGACUUCAUCUGAAAACUGAAAGACCAGACAAAAGCAAUGGUGAAGAAGCGACUGCAGUACGUUACAGAAGCUAAGGGGAACAGAGUUGUGUGGAGGUCGCCUCCUGCCAACUUGACCCUUCACAAGCCUUCUGCAAAAGGAGUCAGGUCUGUGGAAGUCUGAAGAUGUCAGCUGUGCCUGCGCUUCACCCCGCCCCCCUCCGACAGGCUGCUGCUCAACACCAUCACACCGCUAACACUCUGCCCUAUGUGUAUAUAGAGAUACAUCUAUAUCUAUAUCUAUAUCUAUAUAGCUCCAUGACCGCUGUUAUGCAAUGGUUUAAAUCUGAAGUGUCAUAAAUAUAUGAAAAUCAAUAUCACUCCAUGGAAUAACUCCUGCUCAAAAUGUGUUGCUGCCUGAUUUCAUGCAGCCAAGAUAUCCCCUGUGGUUCUUAUAACAAUUGUAUGAGUCAAGAAACAAUUGAAAAAGAUUUGGAGAAAAAAAAGUGAUAAUAACAAAAACAAUUCACCAUAAUAUCUAAAGUUGAACUGAUGUGCACGGUCCACUCCUCUCACUGCACGUUGGCAUGUCGCCCUCUGUGGGCCGGUGCAGGUGUUGAACAAAAUAAAAUAAAAAAAUACAUCAUAAACAUUAAACGUGCACCAGCUCAGACACGUCAGAGGGCAGAGACUGUGACUCUUGCUGUUUUAAACCAGACAGGGGUAAGACAAGCUCAGAAGCCUGUUGGACCAACCUGUCACCUCCAGGUCAGGGGUCCUGCAAACCUCUGCAAGUUUUCCAAAAACACC